UACAGAGGGUGCGAGCGUUAAUCGGAAUUACUGGGCGUAAAGCGUGCGUAGACGGUUAUGUAAGUCAGAUGUGAAAGCCCCGGGCUCAACCUGGGAAUUGCAUUUGAGACUGCAUAGCUAGGGUGCGGAAGAGGGAAGCGGAAUUUCCGGUGUAGCGGUGAAAUGCGUAGAUAUCGGGAGGAACACCAGUAGCGAAGGCGGCUCACUGGGCCAUUCCUGACGCUGAGACGCGAAAGCUAGGGAGGCGAACGAGG
rnacentral:rRNA from 1 species